rfam:Erinaceus europaeus unplaced genomic scaffold scaffold00063, whole genome shotgun sequence
GGAAGUGAGGGUGAUCUGGCUGUGACAUCUGUCACCCCAUUGAUCUCCAGGGUUGAUUAGGCUGAUCUGACUGGCUAGGCAGGUGUCCCCUUCCUCCCUCAUAGCUCCAUGUGCAUCCCUCCUGAAGCUGCGCCCUCAGUCAAAGAGGACGGCCUUCCCUGAAUAGAGACCGGUCUUUGGUCAAGGGUAUAGGAGUAGCUGCACUCCCCUGCUAGAACCUCCAAACAAGCUCUCAAGAAUAGGGAAGUUUCCAAUGGAAGGGAUGGAACACGGAAGUCUGGUGAGAAUUGUAUGGAAUUACACCUCUGUUGUCUUACAAUCUUGUUAAUCUUU